AAUGAUUAGAAAGGGAGGGGAGGGAGGGGAUAAAUGAUUAGAAAGGGAGGGGAGGGAGGGGAUAAAUGAUUAGAAAGGGAGGGGAGGGAGGGGAUAAAUGAUUAGAAAGGGAGGGGAGGGAGGGGAUAAAUGAUUAGAAAGGGAGGGGAGGGAAAGGAAUAAGGGAGACAGGGAUGUUAAAUGAAAAGAAGAAAAAAGAAGAUAGAUAGCUGUUUGAGGUCAUGGCAUAUUGAUUCCUGUUCAUUCAUGUGUUGGCGGAUGAGGAAAAUGAUUAGAUAAGAUACAGGAGGGAAGACAGGAAUGUUAAAUGAAAAGAAAAAAGGAAGAAAAAAGAAAAUAGAUAGCUGAUUGAAGUCUUGGCAUAUUGAUUCCUGUUCCUUCAUGUGUUGGCGGAUGAGGAAAAUGAUUAGAUAAGAUACAGGAGGGAAGACAGGAAUGUUAAAUGAAAAGAAAAAAGGAAGAAAAAAGAAAAUAGAUAGCUGAUUGAAGUCUUGGCAAAUUGAUUCCUGUUCCUUCAUGUGUUGGCAGGUGAGGAAAAUGAUUAGAUAAGGAGAUAGAUAAGGGAGACAGGGAUGUUAAAUGAAAAGAAAAAAGGAAGAAAAAAGAAAAUAGAUAGCUGAUUGAAGUCUUGGCACAUUGAUUCCUGUUCAUUCAUGUGUUGGCGGGUGAGGAAAAUGAUUAGAUAAGGAGAUAGAUAAGGGAGACAGGGAUGUUAAAUGAAAAGAAAAAAGGAAGAAAAAAGAAGAUAGAUAACUGUUUGAGGUCUUGGCACAUUGAUUCCUGUUCAUUCAUAUUUUGGGGAUGAAGAAAAUAAUUAGAAAGCCAGAUAGAUAAGGGAAAAUAAGGAUGUUGAAUUAGAAGGAAAGAAGACACAUAGCUGAUUGACAGUUGGUGGAUGUUGGUGGACAGUUGACUGAUCACAAAAUGCAACAAUACAUACAUUCCUAAUUAAUUCCAUGUGUGAUUAUGUGUUUAUUAGAGUUUAAGUGUCCGUUAGUCUAUGAGUUGGUGUUUUGUUUCCAUAUUUUACUUUUCUGAUGGUUAAUUUUCAUACAUUUAUCUCUUAGGGAGCCUGACAACCAUUCUUUUAUACACUGGUAAUGCAUUAAAUAUGGUUUCAUUCAUCUGUCCCUCUCUAUUGAUUACAGAAUAUAGAUUAAUAUUAAAUAACAAAAAGAUCAGUAAUCCCAAAGCAGUUAUUUCAUGCCUAAAAAUGAUUGGAUUCAGGCUAAAACUAUACACUGAUUCAAAAGCUGUUCCUUCACACUGAAUAAACAAAACUUGAUCUUUAAAAACUUUCAGGCUUAUUUCAAGGAGGCACAUUUUUCACACAUGCUUCGUCCUAUAAAAAAAAACUUUACACUAAUUUAAGUUUUGAGAAUGCAUAAAGUAAAGAGCAAACAAGACCCUUCAAAUAAAUUCACAGACUAAAAUCAAUCAUCAUCACACUUGCUUUUCACACAUGCUUCGUCCUAUAAAAAAACAACAACUUUGCACUAAUGUAAUUUCUGAGAAUGCAUAAAGUAAAGAGCAUACAAGACCCUUCAAAUAAAUUCACACAGACAAACAAAAUCAUCAUCACCCUUGGUCUUCACUACUGCCAUUUCCAACAUAUUUUUCUUUCCUUUUCCAACUAAUCAAAACAUUUCUAGGCAAACCAACAGUCAGUAUCUAAAUCCAGCACCUCUGCACGUCAUGGCAGGUGCGUCUAUAAAACAAAACAUCUUGCGGCAUUCAGAAUAAAAGGAGGAAGACGAAGAAGUAGUUUGCCACAAGACAGAAGCAGAAGCGAGGGAGAUCAAGGUCAAUAUUAUAAGACACUUCUGGUUCUCACAUCAGCUAUUUCUAAAGGUCAAAGAGGGGGUCAAUCGGGUUCUAAUGAGUGUUUCUUUAGGUUCACAGCACAGAAGAAGGGUCAAACUACCACUAGAGAGCCACAAAACUACUCCUGGAAAAGCCCACAACUCCUAUGAAAGGCUUGUCAAAUAUGUGUUCUUGGGUUCAUGUUACAGAGGAAGGGUCAAACUACCACCAGGGCCAUGAAACUACUCCUGGAAAAGCCCACAACUCCUACGAAAGGCUUGUCAAAUAUGUGUUCUUGGGUUCAUGUUACAGAGGAAGGGUCAAACUACCACUAGAGAACCAUAAAACUACUCCUGGAAAAGCCCACAACUCCUAUGAAAGGCUUGUCAAAUAUGUGUUCUUGGGUUCAUGUUACAGAUGAAGGGUCAAACUACCACCAGGGCCAUAAAACUACUCCUGGAAAAGCCCCAAACUCCUAUGAAAGGCUUGUCAAAUAUGUGUUGUUGGGUUCAUGUUACAGAUGAAGGGUCAAACUACCACCAGGGCCAUAAAACUACUCCAGGAAAAGCCCCAAACUCCUAUGAAAGGCUUGUCAAAUAUGUGUUCUUGGGUUCAUGUUACAGAGGAAGGGUCAAACUACCACCAGGGCCAUAAAACUACUCCUGGAAAAGCCCCAAACUCCUAUGAAAGGCUUGUCAAAUAUGUGUUCUUGGGUUCAUGUUACAGAGGAAGGGUCAAACUACCACCAGGGCCAUAAAACUACUCCAGGAAAAGCCACAAACUCCUAUGAAAGGCUUGUCAAAUAUGUGUUCUUGGCCGGCGAAAUGUCUUAUAAUACGACCCCAAGGCUUUAUCGAUAGACCUGACCCACUUACCUCAUAGUUCUUGCUUUCCUCACUUAUGCUAACCCCCAACUUCUCACAGCGGAGGGCGGAAAACUGUAUUAUUUUCUAUUCUAAAAAGGGUGCUAUGCGUAAUCUGUUCUUGCUAUGAAUGAUUGGAUGAAUUUAUGGUAACAAGAUAUGAUGUUUAUUUAUUUUAUGGUUUGGUGGUACUGGUAUUCUUCAUGGUAACAAUAUAUGGGUGUUUACUGUCAUUCAACAUGCUCAUCCGUUCUGAAGCCACUCCGUCCUCAUCAUCCACCCACUCCCACAUAUACUCAUCCACUCUCUCUCACCCAUUACAUAGCCUUUCCCUCUCUCUCUCUUUCAUCCAUUCACAUACAUACUCAUCCAAUCUCUCUCUCUCUCUCUCUCUCAUCCAUUCUUACACAGCCUCUCCCCCUCUCUCUCUUUCAUCCAUUCCCAAACAUACUCAUCCAUUCUCUCUCUCUCUUUCAUGCAUUUCCACAUUUACUCAUCCACUCUCUCUCACCCUUCUUACACACCCUCUCCCUGUCUCAUCCAUUUUCCCUCACACACACACACACACACACACACAGACACACACACACAU